UACGUAGGGUGCAAGCGUUGUCCGGAAUCAUUGGGCGUAAAGCGCGCGUAGGUGGCUUCGUAAGUCCGUUGUGAAAGUCAAAGGCUCAACCUUUGAACGCCGAUGGAUACUGCGGAGCUAGAGUACGGAAGAGGCGAGUGGAAUUCCUGGUGUAGCGGUGGAAUGCGCAGAUAUCAGGAGGAACACCAAUAGCGAAGGCAGCUCGCUGGGACGUUACUGACACUAAGGCGCGAAAGCGUGGGGAGCGAACAGG
rnacentral:rRNA from 1 species